rnacentral:misc_RNA from 1 species
GCGACGAGGCGGUGUCGAGGAUCAAUCAGUUGGGCCAAAUAUCUGAUGCUGACGGCUAUCUCGAGAGAACAUUCUUAAGUCCCGCCUCUAUAAGAGCCACGAAUCUUAUUCGGAGCUGGAUGCACGAUUCAGGAUUGAGAACGUGGGUGGACCAAAUGGGAAACAUUCACGGUCGUAUUGAAACAAGGAAUACGUCGGCAGAAACCCUAUUAGUUGGAUCUCAUAUGGAUACUGUAGUUGAUGCUGGUGCUUAUGAUGGAUCGCUGG